rnacentral:rRNA from 1 species
GAUGUACGCUGGCGGCGUGCCUAAUACAUGCAAGUCGAGCGAACAGACGAGGAGCUUGCUCCUCUGACGUUAGCGGCGGACGGGUGAGUAAUACGUGGAUAACCUACCUAUAAGACUGGGAUAACUUCGGGAAACCGGAGCUAAUACCGGAUAAUAUAUUGAACCGCAUGGUUCAAUAGUGAAAGACGGUUUUGCUGUCACUUAUAGAUGGAUCCGCGCCGCAUUAGCUAGUUGGUAAGGUAACGGCUUACCAAGGCAACGAUGCGUAGCCGACCUGAGAGGGUGAUCGGCCACACUGGAACUGAGACACGGUCCAGACUCCUACGGGAGGCAGCAGUAGGGAAUCUUCCGCAAUGGGCGAAAGCCUGACGGAGCAACGCCGCGUGAGUGAUGAAGGUCCUCGGAUCGUAAAACUCUGUUAUUAGGGAAGAACAAAUGUGUAAGUAACUAUGCACGUCUUGACGGUACCUAAUCAGAAAGCCACGGCUAACUACGUG